rnacentral:rRNA from 1 species
CCUACGGGAGGCAGCAGUGAGGAAUAUUGGUCAAUGGGCGCUAGCCUGAACCAGCCAAGUAGCGUGAAGGAUGACUGCCCUAUGGGUUGUAAACUUCUUUUAUAGGGGAAUAAAGUGCAGUAGGUAUACUGCUUUGCAUGUACCUUAUGAAUAAGGAUCGGCUAACUCCGUGCCAGCAGCCGCGGUAAUACGGAGGAUCCGAGCGUUAACCGGAUUUAAUGGGUUUAAAGGGAGCGUAGGCGGGUUGUUAAGGCAGUUGUGAAAGUUUGCGGCUCAACCGUCAAAUUGCAGUUGAUACUGGCAUCCUUGAGUACCCUAGAUGUAGGCUGAAUUCGUGGUGUCGCGG